ACUGUGCAAAGGUAGCAUAAUCAUUUGUCUCUUAAUUGGAGGCUGGUAUGAAUGAUUGGACGAGGUAGGAGCUGUCUCAUUAUUAUAAUUAUAAUAAUUUAGCUUUUUAGUUAAAAGGCUAAAAUUUUUUUGGAGGACGAGAAGACCCUAUAGAUCUUUAUAAUAUUUAAUUUACUUUUAUUUUGGUUACAAAUUUUUUAGUAUAUUAUUAAUUAUUUUGUUGGGGUGACAUGAAAAUUUAUUUAACUUUUCAUUUAUUUAAACAUGAAUUAGUGAAUAUUCGAUCCAUUUUUAGUGAUUGUAAGAAUAAGUUACCUUAGGGAUAA
rnacentral:rRNA from 1 species